GAGGAAGCCGGAGUGCCCGGAGAGAACCCACGCUGACACGGGGAGAACAUGCAAACUCCACACAGAAGGGCUCCCACGCCUGGGAUCGAACUGGCAACCCUCUUGCUGUGAGAUAUAACAUGGUGAUAUUCGGUGGCAUUGAUGGCUACUCUAGGAAGAUCAUGUACCUCAAUGCUGGAACCAACAUCAUAGCGAGUACUGCACUUCAUUUUUUUUCUGGAUGGAGUAAGGAGAUUUGGAUGGCCUUACAAAUACACCCCUCUAUUUUGAGUGACGAAG